UUAAGCAUAUCAAUAAGCGGAGGAAAAGAAACCAACCGGGAUUGCCCUAGUAACGGCGAGCGAAGCGGCAAAAGUCCAAAUUUGAAAUCUGGCGUCCUACGGGCGUCCGAGUUGUAAUUUGAAGAUGGUAACUUUGGGUUUGGCUCUUGCAUAAGUUCCUUGGAACAGGACGUCAUAGAGGGUGAGAAUCCCGUUCAUGGUAAGAUGCCCAUUCCUUUGUAAAGUGCCUUCGAAGAGUCGAGUUGUUUGGGAAUGCAGCUCUAAGUGGGUGGUAAAUUCCAUCUAAGACUAAAUAUUGGCGAGAGACCGAUAGCGAACAAGUACAGUGAUGGAAAGAUGAAAAGAACUUUGAAAAGAGAGUGAAAAAGUACGUGAAAUUGUUGAAAGGGAAGGGCUUGAAGUCAGACUUGGUAUUCAGUGAUCAACUGUCUUUCGGGACUGUGCACUCGCUGUUUACUGGGCCAACAUCGGUUUUGGCGGCGAGAUAAAUGCAUUGGAACGUGGCUCUAUCUUCGGAUGGAGUGUUAUAGCCUUUGUAAAUAUCGCCUGCUGGGACCGAGGACUGCGCAUCUGCUAGGAUGUUGGCGUAAUGACUUUAAGCCACCCGU
rnacentral:rRNA from 1 species